rnacentral:rRNA from 1 species
UACGUAGGGGGCUAGCGUUGUCCGGAUUUAUUGGGCGUAAAGAGCGCGUAGGCGGCCGAGUAAGUCCGACGUGAAAUCCCCAGGCUCAACCUGGGAACUGCGUCUGAUACUGGAUGGCUUGAAUCCGGGAGAGGGAUGCAGAAUUCCAGGUGUAGCGGUGAAAUGCGUAGAUAUCUGGAGGAAUACCGGUGGCGAAGGCGGCAUCCUGGACCGGCAUUGACGCUGAGGAGCGAAAGCCAGGGGAGCAAACGGG